CGCGAAUGGCUCAUUACAACAGCUAUAAUUUACUUGAUCUUGACACAGUCCUACUUGGAUAACUGUGGUAAUUCUAGAGCUAAUACAUGCAUUAAAGCUCUGACCUCACGGGAAGAGUGCAUUUAUUAGAACAAAACCAGGCGGCUUCGGCUGUUUCUGGUUGACUCAUAGUAACUGAGCUGAUCGCAUGGUCUUGCACCGGCGACGUGUCUUUCAAGUAUCUGCCGUAUCAACUUUCGAUGGUAGUGUAUCUGACUACCAUGGUGAUCACGCGUAACGGAGAAUAAGGGUUCAACUCCGGAGAGUUCGCCUGAGAAAUCGCGAACACAUCUAAGGAAGGCAGCAGGCGCGAAAAUUACCCACUCUCAGCACGAGGAGGUAGUGACGAAAAAUAACGAGACCGUUCUCUUAUGAGGCCGGUCAUCGGAAUGGGUACAAUUUAAACCCUUUAACGAGUAUCUAUGAGAGGGCAAGUCUGGUGCCAGCAGCCGCGGUAAUUCCAGCU
rnacentral:rRNA from 1 species